CCUACGGGAGGCAGCAGUAGGGAAUAUUGCUCAAUGGGGGAAACCCUGAAGCAGCAACGCCGCGUGGAGGAUGAAGGUUUUCGGAGUGUAAACCCCUUUUGUUAGAGAAGAUAAUGACGGUAUCUAACGGAUAAGCACCGGCUAACUCCGUGCCAGCAGCCGCGGUAAUACGGAGGGUGCAAGCGUUACUCGGAAGCACUGGGCGUAAAGGGCGCGUAGGCGGGAUCGCAAGUCAGAUGUGAAAUCCUAUGGCUUAACCAUAGAACUGCAUUUGAAACUGUUAUUCUAGAGUAUGGGAGAGGUAGGUGGAAUUCUUGGUGUAGAGGUUAAAUCCGUAGAGAUCAAGAGGAAUACUCAUUGCGAAGGCGGCCUGCUAGACCAUAACUGACGCUGAUGCGCGAAAGCGUGGGGAGCAAACAGGAUUAGAUACCCUUGUAGUC
rnacentral:rRNA from 1 species